UGUUUGCUUGUUAUGCUGUGUGUGG
rnacentral:piRNA from 1 species